CCUUUUAUCUGGAACCAUCCCUCCUCAAUUCGGAAACCUCUCUAAACUCAUCUACUUUGACCUCUCCACAAAUCACUUAACCGGAGAAAUCUCUCCUUCCUUAGGAAAUCUCAAGAACUUGACGGUACUUUAUCUUCACCAAAACUAUCUAACUAGUGUCAUUCCCUCGGAACUAGGCAACAUGGAAUCCAUGACAGAUUUAGCGCUAAGUCAGAACAAACUUACCGGUUCAAUUCCUUCUUCCUUAGGAAAUCUCAAGAACUUGAUGGUUCUUUAUCUUUACGAGAACUAUCUAACUGGUGUCAUUCCCCCGGAACUAGGUAACAUGGAAUCCAUGACAGAUUUAGCUUUAAGUCAGAACAAACUUACCGGUUCAAUUCCUUCUACCUUAGGAAAUCUCAAGAACUUGAUGGUUCUUUAUCUUUACGAGAACUAUCUAACUGGUGUCAUUCCCCCAGAAAUAGGCAACAUGGAAUCCAUGACAAAUUUAGCGCUAAGUCAGAACAAACUUA
rnacentral:lncRNA from 1 species